GGAAUAUAAGACCAUGUCUCUUAACUUUUAACUAAAAAAGCUAAGAACCGGUUCUUAAAUAAGAGUUUUAAGAGACGGUUCUUACCUUUUUUAGUUAAAAGUUAAUAGAGGGUUCUUAUAUUCC
rfam:Brassica oleracea var. oleracea cultivar TO1000 chromosome C8, whole genome shotgun sequence